rnacentral:rRNA from 1 species
UAGAGAUUGCAUAAUCUUUAUUUGAAAGUGCCAACUGGUACACUAUGAGAUGGACCCGCGUUGUAUUAGCUAGUUGGUAGUGUAAUGGACUACCAAGGCGAUGAUACAUAGCCGACCUGUGAGGGUGAUCGGCCACAUUGGGACCUGAGACACGGCCCAAACUCCUACGGGAGGCAGCAGUAGGGAAUCUUCGGCAAUGGACGAAAGUCUGACCGAGCAACGCCGCGUGAGUGAAGAAGGUUUUCGGAUCGUAAAACUCUGUUGUUAGAGAAGAAUGUUGAUUAGAGUGGAAAAUUAAUCAAGUGACGGUAUCUAACCAGAAAGGGACGGCUAACUACGUG